GAUGAAGAACGUAGCGAAAUGCGAUACUUGGUGUGAAUUGCAGAAUCCCGUGAACCAUCGAGUCUUUGAACGCAAGUUGCGCCCGAAGCCAUUAGGCCGAGGGCACGCCUGCCUGGGCGUCACACGUCGUUGCCCCCCCAUCUACUCCUUCGGGAUUGCGGGGGGCGGAUGAUGGCCUCCCGUGCGCCUCGCCGCGCGGUUGGCAUAAAUGCCAAGUCCUCGGCGACGCACGCCGCGACAAUCGGUGGUUGCGAAACCUCGGUUGCCCGUCGUGUGCGGUCGUCGCGCAUCGAGGGCUCGAAAAAAUUGCCGGGUUCCGGCUCGGCUUUCAACGCGACCCCAGGUCAGGCGGGGUUACCCGCUGAAUUUAAGCAUAUCAAUAAGCGGAGGA
rnacentral:misc_RNA from 1 species